UCAAUGUAAAUUUGUCUGUUAAUGAGAGCGGUUUCGGUUUGGAACAAACGGAAGCAUUUAUGUUUUAUAUUUCGUUUAGUUUUGCUUGUUCUUACUUGAUAAAAACUACAUUUUCCAUUAGACAAAAUCAGUGUGCUAUCAGACAUUACAUUUACAAUAUACCACCUAAGAGAAUGAAUUUCUGCAAUGACAGAUGAUGCAAA